UAACCUGGGAAUGNCCCCUGUNCUGUAUAGCUAGANNNGUCAGGAGGGGGGUAGAUUCCCACGCNUAGCAGUGAAUGCGUAGAUAUNUGGAGGAAUACCAAUGGCGAAGGCAGCCCCCUGGGAUAACACUGACGCUCCAUGCACGAAAGCGUGGGGAGCAAACAGGAUUAGAUACCCUUGGUAGUCCCCGCCNUAAACGAUGCUGACUAGUUGUUCGGGAUUUACAUCCUGAGUAACGUAGCUAACGCGUGAAGUCAGCCGCCUGGGGAGUACGGUCGCAAGAUUAAAACUCAAAGGAAUUGACGGGGACCCGCACAAGCGGUGGAUGAUGUGGAUUAAUUCGAUGCAACGCGAAAAACCUUACCUACCCUUGACAUGUCACUAACGAAGUAGAGAUACAUUAGGUGCUCGUAAGAGAAAGUGAACACAGGUGCUGCAUGGCUGUCGUCAGCUCGUGUCGUGAGAUGUUGGGUUAAGUCCCGCAACGAGCGCAACCCUUGUCUUUAGUUGCUACGCAAGAGCACUCUAAAGAGACUGCCGGUGACAAACCGGAGGAAGGUGGGGAUGACGUCAAGUCCUCAUGGCCCUUAUGGGUAGGGCUUCACACGUCAUACAAUGGUGCAUACAGAGGGUUGCCAACCCGCGAGGGGGAGCUAAUCUCAGAAAAUGCAUCGUAGUCCGGAUCGUAGUCUGCAACUCGACUACGUGAAGCUGGAAUCGCUAGUAAUCGCGGAUCAGAAUGUCGCGGUGAAUACGUUCCCGGGUCUUGUACACACCGCCCGUCAUACCAUGGGAGUGGGUUUUGCCAGAAGCCGUUAGCCUAACCGCAAGGAGGGCGACUGCCACGGCAGGGUUCAUGACUGGGGUAAAGUCGUAACAAGGUAACC
rnacentral:rRNA from 1 species